AACGAACGCUGGCGGCAUGCCUAACACAUGCAAGUCGAACGAUCCCUUCGGGGAUAGUGGCGCACGGGUGCGUAACGCGUGGGAACCUGCCCUUAGGUUCGGAAUAACUCAGAGAAAUUUGAGCUAAUACCGGAUAAUGUCUUCGGACCAAAGAUUUAUCGCCUUUGGAUGGGCCCGCGUUGGAUUAGCUAGUUGGUGGGGUAAAGGCCUACCAAGGCGACGAUCCAUAGCUGGUCUGAGAGGAUGAUCAGCCACACUGGGACUGAGACACGGCCCAGACUCCUACGGGAGGCAGCAGUGGGGAAUAUUGGACAAUGGGCGAAAGCCUGAUCCAGCAAUGCCGCGUGAGUGAUGAAGGCCUUAGGGUUGUAAAGCUCUUUUACCCGGGAUGAUAAUGACAGUACCGAGAGAAUAAGCCCCGGCUAACUCCGUG
rnacentral:rRNA from 1 species